AAGAAGGACUGGAGGGUGAAGGGCGUUAUGGAAGGGUACACAAGGUGUAUCAAGUGAAGCAGCUGACAAGUUCGACAUCACCAAGACAGCUGGGCAGCAUAAGCCAGCUCAGGCAGUAAUCAGCCCCCAGCCAGAGUCACAAGGACCAAGACGCAAUAUGCAGAAGAAGAAAAGUGGAGGCAAGAAGAAGAAAGGUGGUGGCUGGUAGUGGGCGAUGUCCCUCCCAAAUGUUAGGUCUCCUGUCUGUGUCUGAGGCUCCAAUAUUCACUACAACAUUCAGUGGGUGUAACUCAAGCUGAUAAUAGUAAUUUGUGUAUGUGAUGUAAGAAUACUGUACUGUCGUUUUUCCCGUAUCUGACACUAAUGAAGAGACGACACCAGAUGGGAAGGUUUACCAUGGCGUGGGGCCUUGACAUGACACGGGACUAGGACUUGACACAGGGUCUUGACGUGACAUGGGACUAGGACAUGACACAGGACCAUGACAUGACACCAGGCUCUUGACACAGUGCAAGGCUUUGGUGUGAUACAGGAUUCAGCUCUGUGCACAUAAUAGACAAUAAUACACCUGUAGGUAAGGAACAACUAGUCCAACCUGAACUAAAUAAACCUAUUCUCGGAUAUUUGCAGUAUUUUACAGCAUUUAAGACACUUUUUUGUCUGAAAAAAUGGCUCAAAAAAUCGUUCUUUGUCCUAUAUGUGAAGUUGUGGGCACAGAGUAUUUGGGGGGGGGGGGUGCAUUUCUAGGGGAUCGGUGGACAUAGCGUCCCUGCGGGUCUCCGUUGCAAUGGUAAAGCACGGAGUAUUUGGAAAUAGCCACUGUGUUAAACUUUCAUUUGGGUUUUAUUUACUUGUUUAACAAUAUAGUUUUUUUGUUGUAACUUAUUUAUUGGUAUUACUUCUAUUUAUUCCUCACAUUUACUGGUACUUUAUUAUUUUAAGAAAACACAUUUUUUGUGUUUUUUCCUAAAUACUCUUUGCUAAAAUGGGGGAUGCAUCUUAUAUGGCCGUUCGUCUUAUAUGCCGUUAAAAUUUGUAAGGUUGGUUGGGUUUGUUUGUAGUGUCAGACAUUAUUGUACUGCAUUGUAAUAAUCCAUGAUAUAUUUUUAAAAACCAAAUGUGAGAUAAGAGGUUUGAGCCUUGUCAGUAAUGCCCCAUCACAUGUGUUCAGCCUUGGGAUGUAACUUGUGUGUAGUUCACAGUAUUAUGGCAGAAAAUGGAAUGGAUUCACAUAAAGCUUGUUCACCUUUUAAGCAGAUAGAUUACAUAUUGAAGUUUAGUUGACCUGUUGAAUCACUUGGUGUGAAUGGGGCAGCCCUAUGCUUGUAAUGUCAGUGUCUGCCUUUGUUCAAAUGAUCGGUGAUGGAAAGUAAAUGAAAUGCAUUGAAAGAUAA